CGCCUCUUGCAUACAUAUAAGAGGUCUUGCCUGCCCAGUGACGCAAGUUUAACGGCCGCGGUAUUUUGACCGUGCAAAGGUAGCGUAAUCAAUCGUCUUUUAAAUGGAGACCUGUAUGAAUGGUGAAACGAAAACUCAACUGUCUCAUUCUUUUGACCAAUGAAAUUGAUCUCUCCGUGCGGAAGCGGGGAUAAACUCAUAAGACAAAAAGACCCUGUGGAGCUUUAGAUUUCUGCUUAUAUCUUAGAUUGGGGCGAUCGCGGAGAAAACACACCCUCCAUGAAGAAAUUCAUAAUUGAGAGCUACCGCUCUAAAUAUUAAAAUAUUUAACUUUAUGAACCGGCUUGCCGAUUAACGAACCCAGUUACCCCAGGGAUAACAGCGCAAUCCCCUUAAAGAGCACUUAUCACCAAGGGGGUUUACGACCUCGAUGUUGGAUCAGGACAUCCUAGUGGCGCAUCUACUAUUAAGGGUUCGUUUGUUCAACGAUUAAAGUCCU
rnacentral:rRNA from 1 species